AAAUCUCCUUUCUCAAGGUGGCUUUGGUGGUUGUGCCAGCGUCCUCAGUACUUCCUUGAGGUUCUUCCAUUUGAGGCCAUUUCCCCUCUUCCCCAGAGAUCCUGCUGCACUUGCCUCCCUGCAGGAGCAUCCUGUCACACCAGCCAGCUGCUGGGAUCUGCUGCUCCUCCUGGGAACUGGAGGCUCUUGCCUGGAAGAAGGGCCCAGCACCUCCCAAAGACAUGGGGCUGCACUGGGAGCUGGAGACACAGAGUCCUGCCUGCGGCUGUCCUUGUCCCACACGCAGCAGAUGAUCAGCCAGACUCCCUGGGAAAGCUGCUGGCUUGCCUGGAUCCCAGGUGGAGAGGAAACAGCAGCCCCCUGGAGCUGCUCAGGCUCCCUGCUGAAUGCAAGUUCACGUCCUGAGACCUUUUCCAAAGCAUGAAGAGGAAAAUCUGCCUGGGGCCGUGGGGAAGCAAAGCUGGAGCUUAUCACACUCUCUGAGCUACAGUGUCUGCUCCUGUGGGACAGCUGGUAGGAGCCUGGCUUUCUUCCUGAGGACACAAUGCCUCUGGUCACCUCGAGGGAGAAUAGUGGAUGAGUGGAGCCUGUGUCCUUGGCUGGCAGCUGAUGGCCCAGGGAGCCCAGGGGCCCGUGCCAGGGUGAGAGAGAUUUCCUGCUCGUGAGCUGAAAGGCAAAGAUUUUUUUCCCAGCUCCAGUAGUGGCACCUUCUGCUGUCAGAAUUGAUGGUUCAGAUUAUCAAGAUACUUCAGGCUUCAAUACUUAUGCUCCCUUAAUUGAGGUCUUUUUGAUCUGGAGUGGACCCAGUCUCCCAAAUCAGAGCUUUGAAAGAUGACAGCUCCCUUUCCAUGGAGAUGUUGGGUGCUGGGAAUGGGGGGUGUGAGAGCAAGGAGCCCACGUUCCACCCACAAGCCCCAGAGGCAAGCACAGCACUGCCAGAAACAAGAAGCAGGGAACUCAUUUCACACUCAGGCAAGUCCCUGAUAAAGGAAGAAUUUUUCCUGUUGUAAAAUGGGAUAUAUUAAAAAUAAAAAAAAAGUAGAAUUGAUUCAUCUGGGUGACUGGUAAGAGUUAAUCGAUAAAAUAACA